rnacentral:lncRNA from 1 species
AUCAAAUUCCGCAGCGCUCUACAAUGGGUGGACGAACAGACAUGUAGUUGUAACCAGACAAGUUGGACACACAGGAACAGAGGGGUUGAGGGCCCUGCUCAAUGAGCUUACAUGCUAGAGGGAGUGGGGUAAAGUGACACAAAAGGUAAGGAUAGUAUUAGACUAGUGACAGUUGCAGAAGAGGAAUCAAUCAGGAGCUAUUAACAGUUUAAUUU